UCCGGAGGUCUCAAGCGUUGUUCGGAUUCAUUGGGCGUAAAGGGUGCGUAGGCGGCGCGGUAAGUCGGGUGUGAAAUCUCGGAGCUUAACUCCGAAACUGCAUUCGAUACUGCCGUGCUUGAGGACUGGAGAGGAGACUGGAAUUUACGGUGUAGCGGUGAAAUGCGUAGAUAUCGUAAGGAAGACCAGUGGCGAAGGCGGGUCUCUGGACAGUUCCUGACGCUGAGGCACGAAGGUCAGGGGAGCAAACGGG
rnacentral:rRNA from 1 species